rnacentral:misc_RNA from 1 species
UUCCUGAUUUUCCCAUCGUUCGGGGCAUUCUGGGGCUGUUUUGGCUAUUGGUUGCUUGUUUGGUCUUGAGCCGAACGGGUGGCUUCUAGUCUGGUGGCUUCGGGGAUGUUGACCGUAAAGGUGGAUGAGUGGUGUUUGGUUUGUUACGUGUGGUUGGCUGCGGCGUUUGCAACAACUUCCAUGNUUUCAGACCUCUUCAGUUGUGCGGCAAGGCUUGUAUCGCCUUGAGCGUAUUGUGGGUUUUCUGUGUUGGCUACCUAAUCAAUGGUAUCGGUUGGAUUGAUCAAUGUUUCAUUUCGUCUACCGUCGCAUUCGCGGCGUGAGAUGAACCUUGAUGCGGUCUCUUUGAUCCACCUCGUCGAAGCGCAUGCUUUGGCGUUGUGGCACAUUGAGCAUUGCUUGGUCUCUUGUAUACGGAACAUAUAGUGGGCAUGGAUCUAACGAUUCUCGUUUGCCCUCAUAUUAGCGUAACGCUUCUCUUACACGACUUGCUCCACGUUUUAG